GACGAACGCUGGCGGCGUGCUUAACACAUGCAAGUCGAACGGAAAGGCCCCUUUGGGGGUACUCGAGUGGCGAACGGGUGAGUAACACGUGAGUAACCUGCCCUUGACUUCGGGAUAACUUCAGGAAACUGGGGCUAAUACCGGAUAGGAAUCCUUGCUGCAUGGUGGGGGUUGGAAAGCUUCGGCGGUUUUGGAUGGACUCGCGGCUUAUCAGCUUGUUGGUGGGGUAGUGGCUUACCAAGGCUUUGACGGGUAGCCGGCCUGAGAGGGCGACCGGCCACAUUGGGACUGAGAUACGGCCCAGACUCCUACGGGAGGCAGCAGGGGGGAAGAUUGCACAAGGGGCGGAAGCCUGAUGCAGCAACGCCGCGUGCGGGAUGACGGCCUUCGGGUUGUAAACCGCUUUCAGCAGGGGCGAAGCUUGUGGUGACGGUACCUGCAGAAGAAGCACCGGCUAACUACGUG
rnacentral:rRNA from 1 species